rnacentral:misc_RNA from 1 species
AACCUUAUGGACCUGCGGGCGUAUACCUGCGGAAGGAUCAUUAUAGAGUUUUCUAAACUCCCAACCCAUGUGAACUUACCUUUUGUUGCCUCGGCAGAAGUUAUAGGUCUUCUUAUAGCUGCUGCCGGUGGACCAUUAAACUCUUGUUAUUUUAUGUAAUCUGAGCGUCUUAUUUUAAUAAGUCAAAACUUUUAACAAUGGAUCU